GACUUUGUGGUGUAAUGGUAGUGCGUCUGACUCCAGAUCAGAAGGUUGUGUGUUCAACUCACGCCAGGGUCA